rnacentral:rRNA from 1 species
AUUGAACGCUGGCGGCAUGCCUUACACAUGCAAGUCGAACGGCAGCACGGGGGCAACCCUGGUGGCGAGUGGCGAACGGGUGAGUAAUGCAUCGGAAUGUACCCAGUAGUGGGGGAUAACCAGUCGAAAGACUGGCUAAUACCGCAUACGCACUACGGUGGAAAGCGGGGGAUCGCAAGACCUCGCGCUAUUGGAGCAGCCGAUGUCCGAUUAGGUAGUUGGUGGGGUAAUGGCCCACCAAGCCUUCGAUCGGUAACUGGUCUGAGAGGACGACUAGUCACACUGGGACUGAGACACGGCCCAGACUCCUACGGGAGGCAGCAGUGGGGAAUUUUGGACAAUGGGCGAAAGCCUGAUCCAGCAAUGCCGCGUGUGUGAAGAAGGCC